rnacentral:rRNA from 1 species
UACGAAGGGGGCUAGCGUUGCUCGGAAUCACUGGGCGUAAAGGGCGCGUAGGCGGCCAUUCAAGUCGGGGGUGAAAGCCUGUGGCUCAACCACAGAAUUGCCUUCGAUACUGUUUGGCUUGAGUUUGGUAGAGGUUGGUGGAACUGCGAAUGUAGAGGUGAAAUUCGUAGAUAUUCGCAAGAACACCAGUGGCGAAGGCGGCCAACUGGACCAAUACUGACGCUGAGGCGCGAAAGCGUGGGGAGCAAACAGG